rnacentral:tRNA from 1 species
GCUUUGAUGGUCUAGUAGUAUGAUUCACCCUUAGGGUGGGUGAGGUCCUGGGUUCAAUUCCCAGUCAGAGCC